UACGUAGGGUGCAAGCGUUGUCCGGAAUUAUUGGGCGUAAAGAGCUCGUAGGCGGUUCGUCGCGUCGGCUGUGAAAUCCCGAGGCUCAACCUCGGGUCUGCAGUCGAUACGGGCGGACUGGAGUUCGGCAGGGGAUACUGGAAUUCCUGGUGUAGCGGUGAAAUGCGCAGAUAUCAGGAGGAACACCGGUGGCGAAGGCGGAUCUCUGGGCCAUUACUGACGCUGAGGAGCGAAAGCGUGGGGAGCGAACAGG
rnacentral:rRNA from 1 species